UCCAUCACAUCAGUCGUCGCGGCUCCUUCAUCCUCUAGAUCAGAGAUCUCCAUCUUCCCAGACGGCACAGAAAGAUCUUGUGUUUUUUUGUGAUGGGAUCGACGAGAUGUUCUUGCACAAGGAGUGAUGGCAACAAGUGGGACGAGGUUGGGUGAUGCCCGGGUGAAUCUACUAUUGUAAGCGAUGACAUUGUUUAUUAAAGGGGACUUUUGUAGUGGAUUUAGGCAAGUUUUUAGUGGAUUUUCUCUUUGUAAAGUAGAUCUUUUGUAAUGAAUUUCUAUAUUUUUUUAGUGUUUUUGAUGAA